AUGUGAGAUGAAACAGGUAAUCCUUUUGAUCAACGAAAACGCAGAAGAAUUAUUCAAUUCUGUCAUAAAAGGUUCACACACACAACAAAUAAAGAAAAAAUAAAUCUAUCCAAUACACAUAAAACCCAAGCACCAAAGAUACAAUUCAAGGAUCCAUAUUCCGAAACCAGUGAAAAUUAAAAAUCACAUCAGAACCACAGUGCUAAAACAGAGCCUCCACAAACGCCAUUUCAUUUCUGUCCAACUUGUUAGGCCCUGAUCCAAUAUUGUUAUAUACCGGUACUUAUAAAAUUGCCAAUACCUUAUCUAGGCCUGUCUGGGCAGGCUUUAAAACUAUUGGAUAUUUUUCAAAGCAAACACUACCCUUUGCAUUUAAAAUUUUGGGGGCUACCUUUAAAUAUAUAUACACAUGUACUUAUGUUUGUAAUAGCGCUGUAUGGAGAGUUAAUGCCAUAUACUAAGGCUAUACCUCAAUAAUCAGACUGUCAGCUAGAAGAGACCUGAGUGACUAAUCAAGGGGAACCAACCUUAUUAAUUUACUCAUAGCUUAAUCAAAAUCCACUUUACAAGCACUGAAUGGAACCCUGCAGAAAACACAACUUCAAUGUAUUAUCUGAUGCACCAUCCAGAAUGAUCAGAUGGUCCCCACAUGGCUUUUUUCACGAUAUCUCCUGCAGGAUUUUGUCACUAAAGUUUAAAUGUUUGCAUGUACGCAAAACAUGCAUUUAUUCUAUCUCAAGUUCAUAAAUUAUUUAAAUCAAAACAAAUCAUCAUUAUCUCUCCACCUUUGAUGAAAUUCAUUCUUAAGUUAUAUAUUAAAUGGGAAAUUCCGUAAGUUUGACUCCAAGAAGAUGAAAAGAGUUAAGUCAAGGAGUCCUCCAUGCAUAAAAUUCACUAUGUAAUUAUUAUCUGGGAGAAGUCAGAAUGUUUACAUAUAGGCUUCAUUGAUUAUCUCUAGAUCCCAUACUGGGGCAAGUGACUUUGAAGAAGAAGGGUGUUUGGAGCAAUUGACUGAGAUUUUGACAACAUGUUAUGUUCAUGGUCACUGAUUGUAGACUGGUUCCCUAUAAAGAUGUGUAUCUAAUUCGCAAUUAUUUUAGUCUUUAAACUGCACAAAACUUAUCAAAUCAAAUACAGAGGAACGAAAUAUAAAUUGUAAAUUCCAAUCUAAUAUAAAAGGAAAAAUUCUUUUUCCAUUUUCUUAUGAUAUUUUAUUUCACUCAGAAUGAACCUGGGAACUGCCGACAUUUUUUGACAAUAUCUCAAAAACAAAACAUUUUGUAAUUUGCAAAGUAAAUGAGUUUUUAAUUGAACACCCCCUCUAUUGGUGCUUAGUAUAAAUAGUACUUGUAUCUUGUUACUUUCACUUUCCAAUUUUAGUUGGCGGCGGCUACAUGUACCAGCUGUGGAAGAAGAUUUGAUUUGUCAAUCAUUUAACCUAAUAGACCCAGGCAAAGCAAAAUAAUGUUAAGCGCACAAACAUACAAUUUAUGAAGCUGCAUAGUUUAUGUACACCAGAUGAUUAAAAUUUAAAAUAUUUCAAGGGAUAAGUAAGUAAGUAAAUAAUUUAUUUUUUCCAAAUUUUCAGCCCAAUGGGCAUACUAAGGUAAAUCAUAAUGGAGUAAAAUUAAUACACAUGUAACAAGAAAGGAAUUUUCAGAUGACAAUUGAAUUUAUAAGUAAUGAGAUACCCCUCAUUUCUUGGAAGUACAUGUAUGUGCAUUUUAUACAUCUACCGUAAUACUUCAUUUUUCUCAGAAAAAAAAAAUUGAGAGAAUUGUUAAAACACAUUCAAUAAUUACCAUACUAAGGACCAGACCCCUGCACUGUCAAAAAGUCUGCCCUUGGCCCUUAGGUUCUUUACUUAACAAACAUUAAACAAGGACCUUUUACUCAGUCAAAUGAAUGAGAUAAUGACGACAUAUCAAACAAACAGAAAACUAGUGCACAAGGGUCAACAUCAGCUUUAUGCCAUCUAGUUAAUAGGAGGAUUAGGAAAAUAGUUAUGCUUUAAGAUAAACAUUAUAUCUUUGCAAAAAAUAAUGAAGGAAACUCGAGUGUACUUCUUCCAUGUUACCAGUACUCUUUUGAUCCGAUCGAAUAAGUCUGAUUUAAAUUGAAUGCCAGCCACGAAAGAGUGUCAUAUCAAGACAAAAUGGAAGGCCAAGAAUUCGAAUACACAGCCAUAUUUGACUGAAAAUAUUUCAUGACAAGAAUUUUCAUAACAAUUUUUUUUCAAGGUAAAUUACCGUAAUAUGAUGGAAAAAAAUACAUUCAUUUUUGUUGUUAUCAAAACAGUUCAAUUCUGAAUGAAAUUAAAAACACUUCAAUUUAAUAAGUUUUAAAUUAUCCCAAACAAUGCAAGAUCACAUGUAUGCAUGGAGUUGGUCCUUGGUAAAUUUCUUUUAAAGAAGGAAAAUAGCUAUUUGAUAUCAAGUAUUUUGAGGGGAAAACACAUUUUGAUAAAACAGUUGUAAACACUUGGAAAUGGUCCAAAUUUUGUCAAAUACAUUGCCAAAUGAUCUGCGACACCAUACUGGUAGACAUCAAAACUUUUCAUCUACCGGUAUAAAGGAAACCUUAUAAAGAGAAAUCGUUUUUUUACAGCUCAUAUAGCUCUGUGUAAGCUUUGGAGGGGAUGCAUGGAAAUCCAGUUUUACUGCCUAACUUAGCCAACUUGUACAUGAAAACCUCAACGAUAUAUGAAAAUUCUCCCACUUUAGAGGAUUUCAAUGGGGAGAAACUGCAUACUAAACUUCAUCUUUACAAGUCAGGUUUGGUCAGCAGGCAGAAUUAUUCACUGCAAUGGAUAUAAUCCUUGUAGCUCUUCAUUCAUGGAUCAAUAAAACAUAUCUGCCCGGAAAAAAUAUGAUUACUUGAAAGAAUGUUUUUGGAGUGUGUAAAGAUCGACACAUUAGGACUUUAUAGGCUCUCAGCGAUAUGGGACAAGCACCUGUACUGAAGUCUCAUAAAUCACAGCUUUGUUUUACAAAUAAAUUCAUAUUGACAUUU